GACGAACGCUGGCGGCGCGCCUAACACAUGCAAGUCGAACGAGCGAGAGAGAGCUUGCUUUCUUGAGCGAGUGGCGAACGGGUGAGUAACGCGUGAGGAACCUGCCUCAAAGAGGGGGAAAACAGUGGGAAAGGACUCCCAUACCCCCAUAAGCCCACGGUGCCCCUGGGCCAAAGGGCAAAGGGAGCAAUCCGCUUUGAGUUGGCCUCGCGUCCGUUUAGUUAGUUGGGGAGGUAACGGCCCACCAAGGGGACGUUCGGUAGCCGGACUGAGAGGUUGAACGGCCACAUUGGGACUGAGACACGGCCCAGACUCCUACGGGAGGCAGCAGUGGGGAAUAUUGCACAAUGGGGGAAACCCUGAUGCAGCGACGCCGCGUGGAGGAAGAAGGUCUUCGGAUUGUAAACUCCUGUUGUUGGGGAAGAUAAUGACGGUACCCAACAAGGAAGUGACGGCUAACUACGUG
rnacentral:rRNA from 1 species